UUAGGCCCUGAACUACAUUCGAUUUGCAUGCCGAAUCGCUGGCGGAUCCCCUAAAACACGACUCGGCGCCUGUAUAUUUUACCUGCUGUAUCGACACCUUUCUGCUUAGCCGACUCAAAACUCCAGGGGCCACUCAGGAGUGUGCAUAUUUUGUAACCAGUUCUAGAAGUUUUGUACAGUUGUGAGUCAUGGACACGAAACAGGACGCGCCACCCGCAUAUCCAGCACAACAGCAGCCGGCACAACCUAGCGCCUACCCCGCCCAGCAACCAGGCGCCGUUCAGCAACCAGGCACUUACCCCGCCCAGCAACAAGCUGGCUACCCAGCGCAGCCGCCCGCGCCCGGACAACCUGGGGUUUACGCACCUCAGCCGCAACAACCCGGCUACGCCCAGCAGCCACCGGGAACAUUCGUAUCUCAGGGUCCGGGGCAACCUCCAGCGCCGCCCGAACAGU